rnacentral:rRNA from 1 species
UGCCAGCAGCCGCGGUAAUUCCAGCUCCAAAAGCGUAUAUUAAAGUUGUUGCAGUUAAAAGCUCGUAGUUGAAGUUCUGGCUGUAUUGGGCCUCUGCACUCGAUGCGGAGGAACCAGCAGUCAUCCGCUUGCAAAUACAUGUCCUUCCUUAACCGGUAGGCUGUAUAAGUAAGCACUUUACCUUGAGAAAAACAGAGUGUUCCAGGCAGGUUUUGUCCGGAAUGCGUUAGCAUGGAAUAAUAGAAUAUGACUGAAGUCGAUUUAUUGGUUAAAGGCUUUAGUAAUGAUUAAUAGGAACAAUCGGGGGCAUUGGUACUUGUCAGUCAGAGGUGAAAUUCUAGGAUUUGACAAAGACUAACUGAUGCGAAAGCGUUUGCCAAGAAUGUUUUCAUUAAUCAAGAACGAAAGUUAGGGGGAUCAAAGACGAUCAGAUACCGUCCUAGUCUUAACUAUAAACUAUACCGACUCGGAUUCAGAUGAAUUUUAAAGUUCAUUUGGGACCGUAGGAGAAAUCAAAGUCUUUGGGUUCUGGGGGG